rnacentral:rRNA from 1 species
ACACUCAGGGACGAAAGCUAGGGGAGCGAAUGGGACCAGAGACCCCAGCAGUCCUAGCUGUAAACGAUGGAUACUAGGUGUAGCUUGUAUCGACCCGAGCUGUGCCGAAGUUCACGCAUUAAGUAUCCCGCACUGCGGAGUACGCACGCAAUGCUGUCGAAACUCGAUGGAAUCGACGGGGGCCCGCACAAACGCUGGAGUAUCUGCUUUAAUUCGAUGCUACAUGAAGAACCUUAUCAGGGCUUGACAUGUCCGGAAUCCCGGUGAAAGCUGGGAGUGCCUUCGGGAGCCGGAACACAGGUGGAGCAUGGUUGUCGUCAGCUCGUCUCGUGAGAUGUUGCGAUAAGUCCCGCAACGAGCCGCAACCCUCGUCACUAGUUGCCAGCAUUAAAUUGGGCACUCUAGAGAGCCAGCCGCGUGACAAACCGGAGGAAGGUGGGGAUGACGUCAAGUCAGCAUGCCCCUUACGCUCUGGGCGACACACGUACUACAAUGGUCGGGACAGAGGGCAGCGAACACGCGAAGGCAAGGUAAUCUCCAGCGAACUCGGCAUCAGUUCAGACUUGCAGGCUGCAACUCGCUUGCAUGAAGGAGGAAUCGUUAGUAGUCGCCGGUCAGAGUUCGCCGCUGAUCUGUUCCCCGGG